rnacentral:misc_RNA from 1 species
GAUGAAGAACGUAGCGAAAUGCGAUACUUGGUGAGAAUUGCAGAAUCCCGUGAACCAUCGAGUCUUUGAACGCAAGUUGCGCCCGAAGCCAUCAGGUUGAGGGCACGUCUGCCUGGGCGUCACAUAUCGUUGCCCAAUGCCUAUUGCAGUGCAAUAGGAAUUUCUAGGGCGAAUGAUGGCUUCCCGUGAGCGUUGUUGCCUCGCGGUUGGUUGAAAAUCGAGUCCUUGGUAGGGUGUGCCAUGGUAGAUGGUGGUCGAGUUAGAACGAUACCGAUCAUGUGCAUGCUCCCCAAAAUAUGGCCUCUAUGACCCACAUGCGUCUUUUGACGCUCAUGACGAGACCUCAGGUCAGGCGGGGCUACCCGCUGAAUUUAAGCAUAUCAAUAAGCGGAGGA